rnacentral:tRNA from 1 species
GCGAGCGUGGCGGAAUUGGCAGACGCGCUGGACUUAGGAUCCAGUGUGAAUAACAUGGGGGUUCGAGUCCCCCCGCUCGCA